UCAUCUGCUGUAGGUUCCGAGUCAUCAUGAACACGCUGAUAAACAUUGUGCCAACCAUGCUGACGUUUGGAGGGCUGACUCUGGUAAGAAAACCUGGUAUCUUAGUUCAAAGCAUUCAGUUUAGCAGGAACGUGUUAAGUCUCACACACAUCUGGUUUUCAAGAGAAGGAAUGCAGGUGUUUGGAUGUUGAGUCACUGAAAAUCAGUGUACAUUUGGUUCUUAGUUAUGGCGCAUCUUCGCGUGUGCAAAGUGCUUGGGUUACUGCUAGUUGACAGGUCAGAAAUUGCCAGGACAUCAUGGCCUCAAUGGGACAGCAAAGAUGUUCUGUGCAGUCUAGGCUUUGGAUACUACAGGGAAUCAAGUUAUGGUUUGGGCAGGAAGCUGAAUGAGAACACUUAUUUUCUGAAAUUACUUUUUAAAAAUAGGUUUUCCUCUUAGGAUUUGAUAAUGUUUCAUUUCUGUAUAUUUGGUUUGCAGUCCUGGGCAGGAAUAAGUCAAGUAGUUGUUUUUGAAGGGGCUGAAUCACUUAGACUAUGCUACUCUUCCACAGACUGCUGUAUCAGUAAGAAGUCUGCUGGAGCUUUUAAACCUGUCACAGGGGUUUCUGCUCAGUGGAGAAGCCUGUAAUGGUGUUUCUCUUCCCAGGUUGUGUACUGUAUAUUUGCUAUAAUUGGUAUGGAGUUAUUCCAUGGGAAAAUCCAGUUCUUCCCUGCAAACUCAAAUGCUCCUUAUGCCUUGGAAUGUGGAAACCCGGCUCUCAAGGAUUCUUUGUUUGCCCGUGGAAAAUACUGCAAGAACAACUUCAACAACUUUGCAUCUUCCUUCAUUGUUCUGAUGGAGCUUACUGUAGUCAACCAGUGGCACGUCUUUGCCAAUGGAUUUGCCAACGUGACUGCAAAGCCUGCAAAGCUUUAUUUCAUUGCCUUCCACAUUGUGAUGGUUAUAAUUAUUGUCAAGUAAGUUUUUAGCUUUCUCUUUUGGCUUUCUCUUAUCCUUGGUGGAGUGAAGAGGGGCUGUGACCCUUGCCAGGGCAGUGUUUAUGAUCCCAAGAUUGUGUACGGUGUGCUGCUGACAUGUGUCCUGCCCCUCUCUUUGAAGAACC
rnacentral:lncRNA from 1 species